rnacentral:rRNA from 1 species
GACGUAGGAGACGAGCGUUGUCCGGAUUUACUGGGCGUAAAGGGCGCGCAGGCGGCCGCGCGCGUCGGGCGUGAAAGCCCCCGGCUCAACCGGGGCGGGUCGUCCGAGACGGCGCGGCUGGAGGGCGGCAGAGGCUGGUGGAAUUCCCGGUGUAGUGGUGAAAUGCGUAGAGAUCGGGAGGAACACCCGUGGCGAAGGCGGCCAGCUGGGCCGGCCCUGACGCUGAGGCGCGAAGGCGCGGGGAGCGAACGGG